rnacentral:rRNA from 1 species
UACGGAGGGAGCUAGCGUUGUUCGGAAUUACUGGGCGUAAAGCGCGCGUAGGCGGCUUUGUAAGUUAGAGGUGAAAGCCCGGAGCUCAACUCCGGAACUGCCUUUAAAACUGCAUCGCUUGAAUCCAGGAGAGGUGAGUGGAAUUCCGAGUGUAGAGGUGAAAUUCGUAGAUAUCGGGAGGAACACCGGUGGCGAAGGCGGCGACCUGGGUCGAGACUGACGCUGAGGCGCGAAGGCGUGGGGAGCAAACAGG